CUGCCCUGAUGUGACACACACAGGAAGUAGGAGAGUGACAGUCCCCAUCGUCACCCCUGACUGUGGAGUGGCUUCCACCAGACACUUCGACAGAGCACGGAGUGAUGGAAGCCCCACAUGUGUGUCUGGUCAUCCCAGGUCCCCUGUGUGCCCGUGUGCUGUGGCCGCUAAGAGGGCAGUGCAGGGCACAGCUGGAGAGGGGGCAUCUGAUUUCAGCCUGUGUCCUGGUCCCACCACAGCCCUGAUUUAAGCGCACAGGCCUCCUUCCCAGGCAGGGUCCUCUGAGCUCACUGGUUCCCUCUGCUCUGUCUUCCAGGCUCUGCUUCAUCCACCGUUGGGCAUCUGAGUUAAUUUUCUUUACUGCGGUUAACUUCACUGACUAAUUACGCAAGACGUCCUGACCGAGCAGCAACCAGCACAGGACCUCCUCUCCACUGACACUUGGUGCUGCGGGUCUCAGUCCUGACCGACAGAGUGAGUGGCUUCUCUUGUCAUCUCCAAAAUGGAAACCACUCUGUGACCAGAGAGACUCCUGGAGGCCCCUAGAGCGGCAGUGGCAAAGAAUACAAACUAAAUCUGGUACCCAUGGAGCCGAGAGGUCUGCAACACGAGAGACCGGGAGACGGGGUUUUAACGAGCAGGGGGCACAACCAUGGGGAAGAAUGUCACUGGGAACCAGCCCAGGGCAGAAGACAGAAGAGGUGCUGACAAGUUCUGGAGUCCUCCCGGACCCUCUGAGAAGCCUCACAGGCCACAGGGUCCCUUCUCUUUACACAGAAGAAAAGCCAAGAGUCCACAGUCCCCGCUUUCUCCCCAUCAGGGCUGCAUCUGGGCAGGGACAGCACCAACUGGAUGGUCUUUUCUCCAGGAGAGAACUGGAGAGGGUUUUGCUGAGGCAGCAGGCUCUCAGAAUCAUAAAUCAACUGGGUAAGGCACAGCUUUUCAUGAAACUAAGCAGAAGUUUGAGGUUCACCAGAACCUGUUGCUGAGGACUGUAAGCACUCCCUGGACUUUCUAAACUCUCUGAGGAUUUAUUUGCAUCUGUGUUGGCAAAAUAGCUUUGAGACCUCCGGGGUUUAGCUCCCACCCUCCAUCCCUACCCACCCUCCAUCCUCACCCACCCACCCCACGCCACCCACCACCACCAGGGGGAAGUCAUUUGGAUACAUAUCCCACCGUUUGUGAUUAGGAAGUGACUCUAGGGAUAAGCUUUCUUGUUAUCGGCUUCAAAGAAGGAUUCGUCUGUGUGCCAAAGUGGAGACCAUACAGUAUCUAGGAUGUCUGUGUGGUCGUAAGCAAAAAAACCACAAGUGUCUGCCAGUUCGAGCAAGGAAGGGCUCUAUUGGAAAGAGGAGCAUCGGACAUGCUUCUGUAUUGUCAUAUCAGGGCCAUGCUUCCUUCUCAUGGGUGCCCGACAAGCGUGCAUCAAGUUUCUUGACUCCUGCUUUGGCUAAAGUUGCAGGCCCCUCAUGCCUCACUGAAUAACUCGGGUGUUUGUUUUCUCUCAUGGUACCUAAGUCUUAGGAACUGAGGGUACAAGAUAGCCCGGGAACACAAUGGCGGUUCCAUGAGCAACUCAGGGAUCUGGAGCUGCUUCCUUGAUCCCGCCAACUCCCCUGCCUUUGUUUUCACACUUCCAACAUGGCUGCCGGUGCUCCAGUCAGCAGGACAGGCAGUCACAGAUCUAUCUGCCUGCUGAGAUGACCUCUUCUAAAGAGUUUUCCUGAAAGUUUCACAUAGUGCCUUAUACUCAGAGACUCUUGGAAUGGUUUUGAAGCUGUGAUAACACCACUUGGCAAAUUAUAGCAGGAUUCAGUUAGCCCUGAAGGGUUGACAGGCAGGUGACUCUGACAGACCACCGGUGUUAACUUAUGGGGAGUUUUCUCUCAAGAACCAACAGCCCUUUGCCUUCCUUUCAUGGGUGCCCCCAUUCUGAAUAAAAAAAUUCUUGGGCUGGGGAUACACCUCAGUUGUUAAAGUGUCCAUCUUGUACGCUAGAGGUCUCAGCUAAAAGUCGGCUGUGGUAGCCCAUGCCCACAGCCCCAGUGCUGAGGAGGGAAAAACAGAAGGAUCCCUAGGUUUGACCUGCUGGCCCACCUAGCUGAAUUAGAGAGCUCCAGGUUGAGUGAGAGACUCUGUCUCAAGAAUUAAGGGAAAAAGGGACGGAGGUGUCGACCUGGUCUCUGCACGUGCAGACACACAAACCUGAGCACACAGUAACAUCUCGUGUGUACCUAUUCACACCCGUGUGUGUACUCACACCUGUGUGUGUACUCACACCUGUGUGUGUACUCACACCUGUGUGUGUACUUCCAUCAAAAAGUGAACAAGAUGACACCCCCCGCUCCCGUCCCUCCCCAAAAAACCCCAAGAGCAGGAUCCAGGGGCAGAGCCCACCUCUGUCCGGCUCUCUUCUUUGUCCCUUGAAUAUUAAUAAGGAUUAAUUACGGUCUGAGUUGCUACGACCCCACCCUCUCUUCUCUUAGAGCCAAGAGCCAUUGUCAACACUGUAGGGGACCUGAACCUCGGAGCUCCUGAGGCGUGACAACUCCUUCUGCUUUCAAAAGCUGCAUUUCCACGUUUUCUGAACAGCGAGUCCUUCAUGUAUACAGUUAAUUGCAUAAAUAAACAUUUUUUUCCUCACCUGAA